AACGCACAUUGCGCCCCCUGGUAUUCCGGGGGGCAUGCCUGUUCGAGCGUCAUUUCACCACUCAAGCCUCGCUUGGUAUUGGGCGACGCGGUCCGCCGCGCGCCUCAAAUCGACCUGCUGGGUCUUUCGUCCCCUCAGCGUUGUGGAAACUAUUCGCUAAAGGGUGCCGCGGGAGGCCACGCCGUAAAACAACCCCAUUUCUAAGGUUGACCUCGGAUCAGGUAGGGAUACCCGCUGAACUUAA
rnacentral:misc_RNA from 1 species